GCCAGUGUAGUAUAGUGGUUUGAACAUUGGACUAUAACUCUGGAUGCCAGGGUUCUAAUCCUGGCUCAGCCA